rnacentral:piRNA from 1 species
UAAAGCUCUGGCAAAGGACUCAGCUUAAC